rnacentral:rRNA from 1 species
AACGAACGCUGGCGGCAUGCCUAACACAUGCAAGUCGAACGAGACCUUCGGGUCUAGUGGCGCACGGGUGCGUAACGCGUGGGAACCUGCCCUUAGGUUCGGAAUAACUCCCCGACAGGGGUGCUAAUACCGGAUAAUGUCUUCGGACCAAAGAUUUAUCGCCUUUGGAUGGGCCCGCGUUGGAUUAGCUGGUUGGUAGGGUAAAAGCCUACCAAGGCGACGAUCCAUAGCUGGUCAGAGAGGAUGGUCAGCCACACUGGGACUGAGACACGGCCCAGACUCCUACGGGAGGCAGCAGUGGGGAAUAUUGGACAAUGGGCGAAAGCCUGAUCCAGCAAUGCCGCGUGAGUGAUGAAGGUCUUAGGGUUGUAAAGCUCUUUUACCCGGGAUGAUAAUGACAGUACCGGGAGAAUAAGCUCCGGCUAACUCCGUG